rnacentral:rRNA from 1 species
ACUCAAAUGAAUUGACGGGGGCCCGCACAAGCGGAGGAACAUGUGGUUUAAUUCGAUGAUACGCGAGGAACCUUACCUGGACUUGAACGGAUAGUGACGUGGGGAGAGAUUUCCAUUUUAGCAAUAACACUUACCGAGGUGCUGCAUGGCUGUCGUCAGCUCGUGCCGUGAGGUGUCGGGUUAAGUCCCAUAACGAGCGCAACCCCUAUCGUUAGUUGCCAGCGGGUUAAGCCGGGGACUCUAGCGAGACUGCCGCCGUAAGGUGUGAGGAAGGCGGGGAUGACGUCAAGUCAGCACGGCCCUUACGUCCAGGGCUACACACGUGUUACAAUGGCCGGUACAGCGGGAAGCAUGGCAGCGAUGCAAGGCGGAUCCCGAAAGCCGGUCCUAGUUCGGAUCGGAGUCUGCAACUCGACUCCGUGAAGCUGGAUUCGCUAGUAAUCGCAUAUCAGCAACGAUGCGGUGAAUACGUUCCCGGGCCUUGCACACACCGCCCGU